GUCAGCAUUUAACUCACGACUUUCCCCAAAUCACGCCUUUCACUGAAAACAUUUCUCCCAAGUCAGAUCAUCUUCCCCAAAAUCUUCACUCAAGAACCCUAGGUGAGAACCAUCUUCUCCAGUAUCUGUCAAACCCUUGGUUCUUGAAAUCCAGUGCUCCCAAAUCUCACGCGAAGUCAUCUGCGUUAAUUCAAAAUCCAAACCCCUGGGCGUGAAAUCAACUUCCUCCAAGUCAAUUGUUGUAGGUCGCGAUCCUCAAUUUAUUCAAUCAGCGAGAACAGUGUGAGGAAACCCAACAUCCGACCGGCAGGAUACAGUUAUCAAGUCUUCGUUGGAGCGCGAUCGUGAUUUGAAUUGCAUUGAAGGAAUUGGGACUGGUUGUGCAUGGAAACAGCUUCAUUAAAUUGUGAAGUAGAUAUACCACACCAACAAUUCGAAGCAGAUCAAGGAUGGAACAAUUGUGAAGCGGCCAUGUACUAACGUCGACAGUUCAGUGGCUAUUGUUUCAACUGAAUUUGUAUUUUGUAAUGUCCAAUGUUUUGCUUUUGGCAUGUAAAUUGACGUCAGAUUGGGAUGUUACAAUGUUGUUGAGAUAGAACAUAUUCACAUUAAUGAAAUCAGUGUAUUGUUGCUGCCAUGACUAUUUAAAGCACUAGAUGUUGAGAUGAAUGAUGUUUAAAGCACUUGAUGAAAUCAGUAUGUUGCUGUUUAAAGCACUCCGUUGGUUCUUGUUGAUGUGUCCAACCGAUGAUGUGAACUUUGAAGAUGUCGUUGACGACGUGAUUUACAGCAAGCUCCAACUUUCAGUCUUUCAGUUUUUGGGGUGAUUCAAGUGAUACAUCCGAUGAUGAACUGGAGUUAUCAAGUUUGUUGAAGAGCGUUAUUAAAAUAACUGAAGAAAAGGACGUGGACAUCUCCGUCAAAUUUACUUUCCGCAAGGGAGAAGGAGAAGAGCAACGGGAAACCAAAUGGAGGAGCUUUGUGAACUUGAACUGCUCAUGUUUAAAUUUUUUUGUAGGCUUGAAAAUUAAGAAGUAGCUCAAUCCCAGGAACUUCAAUUUCGCAUAUGUAAUUUGAAGUGUGUAGUACCCCAAUGAAACGACUAUGUUAUUUUAUAUGAAUGUAAUUUGGAUGCAUGGCAAUGAACAUGUUAUUUUAUAUCA